AGCAUUAUUACUUUUCAUUUUGUCCCAUCAGAAUGGAAGAUCUGGACCACCCUCCUGCCAUCAAAUUAAAAUGGAUUAAUUUGUACUUAUUCGGUGUUGCCAGGUCUGUGGGAUCAAGUACACCAGAGGAAAGUGGUAAGGGGAUAGAGCAACUAUGA
rnacentral:lncRNA from 1 species